rnacentral:lncRNA from 1 species
GGUAGCUUUAUUUAUGUUGGAAAUUUGGUGUGUGGGCUCUAUGAACUCCCACUAUGGCUUAAUGGACUGAUUUUGUGAGGUUUUUGUUAAUAAUGCUGGAUUAGUGCUUAAAUUAGUAGAAAUGAGUGAUAUUAUGGAUGAAAGCUCAAAGGAAGUGAAGGGGAGAAUUUUUCCAUUUCUGCCCCUGUGAAUGCCGUGACCUUUAGAGCAUUUUUUUGAAGUUCUAUUGACUUGUUUAUAAUGUAUAUAUGUUGUAUGGGUUGUGUGGAAGGUUUCCACAAAAAAUUACGUGAUUUGGUUGGUCAAAUGUGGUGAUUUCGAAAGUUCAUUCAAAACUAGAAUUUUUCCCGUAUUGCACUGGCAGUGUUUUUCAAACAGAUAUAACUUUUUGCUCCGACGUCGAAUUCGAGUGCCGUUUGUGGCACUGGAUACUAGACAUUCCCAUAUUUCCAAAGGUAUGAAAUUCACUUCCUGAUUCCACCUGAGUAAUCCAAACCAAUCGUUUGAACGUGACUGUUCUGUUUCGCUAAUUCACUGGAAGCUCUGUUUUGAGCAGAGAAUUGAUGCCCAAAAAUGAGCUAGUUGUGGAUAGAUUUUUAAAAUAAUUUCUUCUGAGAAAUUAUAGCUUUAUGAAUGUAGUUUUCAACGCCACCAACCACGCUCAAUUCCAACUUGAAUUGAGUGAGUUGAGGCCAAAGUUCGAAACUGAUUCAGGGAUUGAAAACCCUC